GAGUUUGAUUCUGGCUCAGAUUGAACGCUGGCGGCAGGCUUAACACAUGCAAGUCGAACGGUAGCAGGAGAAAGCUUGCUUUCUUGCUGACGAGUGGCGGACGGGUGAGUAAUGCUUGGGAAUCUGGCUUAUGGAGGGGGAUAACUACUGGAAACGGUAGCUAAUACCGCGUAAUAUCGAGAGAUUAAAGACUGGGACCUACGGGCCAGUUGCCAUAAGAUGAGCCCAAGUGGGAUUAGGUAGUUGGUGGGGUAAAGGCCUACCAAGCCCGCGAUCUCUAGCUGGUCUGAGAGGAUGACCAGCCACACUGGAACUGAGACACGGUCCAGACUCCUACGGGAGGCAGCAGUGGGGAAUAUUGCACAAUGGGGGGAACCCUGAUGCAGCCAUGCCGCGUGAAUGAAGAAGGCCUUCGGGUUGUAAAGUUCUUUCGGUGGUGAGGAAGGUAUCAACUUUAAUAGAGUUG
rnacentral:rRNA from 1 species